GACGAGCCACCCGAACGUUAUUCGGAAUUACUGGGCUUAAAGGGUGCGUAGGCGGUGUAGCAAGUCGGGAGUGAAAUACCCCAGCUUAACUGAGGAAUUGCUUUCGAUACUGCUAUGCUCGAGUGAGACAGAGGUAAGCGGAACUUAGGGUGGAGCGGUGAAAUGCGUUGAUAUCCUAAGGAACACCGGUGGCGAAGGCGGCUUACUGGGUCUCUACUGACGCUGAGGCACGAAAGCUAGGGUAGCAAACGGG
rnacentral:rRNA from 1 species